UCUCAGUGACAUGACUUCUUCUGAACCUCCCCUAUGGCCUCAGUAGCAGAAAAGUGAAGAGGACUAUGACAGAGA